GACGAACCGUGCGAACGUUAUUCGGAAUCACUGGGCUUAAAGCGCGUGUAGGCGGCCCGGCGCGUCGGAUGCUGAAAUCCCCCGGCUCAACCGGGGAAGGGGCGCCGAUACGGCCGGGCUGGAGGGGGGUAGGGGGCGCUGGAACUCACGGUGGAGCGGUGAAAUGCGUUGAGAUCGUGAGGAACGCCCGCGGCGAAAGCGAGCGCCUGGACCCUUUCUGACGCUGAGACGCGAAAGCCAGGGGAGCGAAC
rnacentral:rRNA from 1 species